rnacentral:lncRNA from 1 species
UGCCAAAAAAUGCAUCUAAUUAAAAAAAGGGGUUUUGCAUAAGAAACACUGAAUGAAAAUGCCAAUUUAAAAUAAAAUAAAUGAAUAAAUAAAUCCUUGAAAAUUUUGGAGAAUUACAUAAAAACCGCUGAAUGGAAAUGCCAGGAAGUCAUAAAAUCUUAAAUUUUGGGGUGGGCCUAUCAUAUAAAAAACGCUGAAUAGAAACUUCAAGAAGGGCAUCAAAUCGCAUAAAAUCGCAUAAAAAAACAUAAAAAGAUAAAAAUAAAAACAUAAAAAAAUGGGGUAAUAACAUGAAUAAUACUUGAUGAAAACACCAAGAAGUGCAUAUUUUUUCUAUUAUAGAUUAUUUUAGUAGCCUACAGAUUCUGUUUGCUUGAACACAUGGGAUGGAUACAGCAUUUUAUUCUCAAAUGUUUUAUGCGAUAUCUCAAUUUAUUUUUGCAUCUUUUGGAUGGAAACAUCACAGACGGCAGCGUUUGAAGGAUUUCUGUGUCAGUCGAUCGCAUCGGUGUGUUUGCGUACAGUGUGUUUCUGGCCGUAAGGUGUUUGUUUGUGCUGGCUUUUCUCUUGUACUUCUGCGUUUGGUCAUUGCGAUCACUACAAACCUAAUUUAUAUGAACAGUGUGUUGUAUGUCACACAUCGGCUUAAUAUACUUUAUACGUUAAGAUGAACGUUCACUCGUGACACUAAAUCCGUGAAAUCCAAGAAUGAUGAGGAUACUUGAUGAGGAUUUUUUUGUGACAUUGUUAUUUGAAACCAUUUUAAAAUGUUCAAUAUGUGAAUUUACAAAAGAAAAAAAAUAUGUGACAUCUCUGUCGUAUGGAAGCCGUUUCUUCCAACGAUCAUCCAUAAUUCUGAGUUAUAUCUUGCAGUUCUGAUUAGAAAAUCAUAAUUACUGCAAUUCUGAGGCAGAAGUGUGCUUUCAUAAGGUCAGUGUCAUUACUUCUCCGUGGUGCUGUCGUAUUCAGCGUUAGCAAUGAGGUAGUCAUUUUUUAUUUUCCCCUUAUGUAUAUUUGGACAUUAUAUGUUUGAUUAUUUAUGUUAUCUUUUUUUUAUUUCUCCAAAAAAUACUGUACUCCAAUAAAUUAUGAUAUCGCUCUGAGAUCUAUCUGGUCGCUCACCAUUUAGUUCGGAAUCUUAUUUAUGUCAAAUCUGUAUUUGUAUAUAAACACAAAUAGGGAGUAUAUGUUGUGUUCUGGUCUCAGUAUCAAAACAGAAACAAAACAAAGACGGAAAAUGUAAAUAUUUGAUAUUUUGACAUUAAAUAAAAUGUAUGAUUUAAUCACAAUGUUCUCAUGAGUAUUUUACUAUUUCUAUGUGGGUCGUGUCGUAUACACUAUAUGUGUCUAGUAUACCUAUUUUACCUUUAAAAUU